UCGUGCUAGGCGGGGAGCUAGCGGUUCCUUGUAACCUGAAAUCCGCUUCAUGCAGGGUCAAAUGCCGUAGGAAGGGUUUUGCUGAAUUUCAAUUUAAUUAUAAGUAGUGAUGAUUUUGUCAGCUCUACGCAAUAUAUGGUGGUUAAACCCCGUCAGAUCCGGAAGGAAGCAGCGGUAGAUUAUUUAUAUAUGUGCCGUAGAAUCCUGAUAGAUAGCUGGCUGUUUUUAAAUUGUUGUGUCCAGAAGGUUCGACCUACGGUGCACGG
rnacentral:SRP_RNA from 1 species